AGCUUAAUACAGGUAGAUAAGCAAGCAAGGUGCGGCUAUCUACACGGUCCCAACUCCGUAAAGGUUAGAGUGACAACUAAUCGAAGUAGAGGGAGCU
rnacentral:ribozyme from 2 species